GACGAACGCUGGCGGCGUGCUUAACACAUGCAAGUCGAACGAAGAGCGACGGAAGCUCGCUUCUAUCAAUCUUAGUGGCGAACGGGUGAGUAACGCGUAAUCAACCUGCCCUUCAGAGGGGGACAACAGUUGGAAACGACUGCUAAUACCGCAUACGAUCUAAUCUCGGCAUCGAGGAUGGAUGAAAGGUGGCCUCUACAUGUAAGCUAUCACUGAGGGAGGGGAUUGCGUCUGAUUAGCUAGUUGGAGGGGUAACGGCCCACCAAGGCGAUGAUCAGUAGCCGGUCUGAGAGGAUGAACGGCCACAUUGGGACUGAGACACGGCCCAGACUCCUACGGGAGGCAGCAGUGGGGAAUCUUCCGCAAUGGACGAAAGUCUGACGGAGCAACGCCGCGUGAGUGAUGACGGCCUUCGGGUUGUAAAGCUCUGUUAAUCGGGACGAAAGGCCUUCUUGCGAAUAGUGAGAAGGAUUGACGGUACCGGAAUAGAAAGCCACGGCUAACUACGUG
rnacentral:rRNA from 1 species